UGAGGCGAGAAUGGGAAGAAGCAAUCAAAACAUGGAGGAAAGGGGCCGCAGCGCAUUUUUGCAACUUUUUAGAAUGCGAUCUGAAGAAAAGAGCUUCUUCACCGGGGGAGGGGGUGCAUUUACUUUUUCUCCCUCACGUACAAAAGAGAAGUUGGAUCAGGCUAGAUAAGGACGUGAUUGCGGCCUGCAGAAAAGGUGGUAGAUACGGGAGAGGGAGGAAGGGAACUGAUUUGUGGGGCCCUGAACUUCCGCGGCCAUUGCAAUCAACGAGCUGUAUUCAUUUAUUUUAAGAUUUGUAUCCCGCUUUGUCACCGGAACUUCGAAAGCGGCCGCCAGUAUAAAAAGCCCUCUAAAAACCAGACCAGAAGAGUUAGUCGGGUUGCUUAAUGGCGGCUGGAGUUACGGGGAAUGCGUAUGGUGAGCCCAGAAAGCUCACCGUGGAAGAUUCUCGCAGCAUUUCUCCAGACGUUUUAUUUUAUGGAUUCUAAGCGAAUAGGCAUACUCCGGGCUGAGCAAAUGGAGGAGUCUGCUGAUGACACUGGGGAGCCCCAAACAGCCGGCAGACUUGUUUGCAUCAAUAAUGACAGAGUCAAGGCCGUGCAAGAAAGCGGACAAUGAAAUUAACCAGACAGUGGCUGUGCUUUGUAAGGAUUUUUCCAUUCUGAGACAAGAUGUUGGAAUUCCUAGAGACCACCCGCUCCACUGGAUACCAUCUUCAUUUAUAAUGUACAAUAGAGAUGGAGAACUUGUGACCCGCCCUCCAAGGUGUUGUGGGACUCACCCCCAGGCAGUGUGGCCAAAAAGAUGGGAGUUGUAAUCUAUAGGAGGGCCACAGGCUCCCCAUCCCUGAUAUACAACGAGAAUGGUAACCAACCUCCAUAGAGACAUUUUGGCAAAGGAGUUGCUGCGCUCAGUUAAUUGGGAAUCGGUCAGUUGUGAUGAAACCAACAUAAGAAUAGGACAAUGGCAGUACGGCAUUUGCAACCAACCACUUAUUUCAACUGGAAACAGCCAUUAAAAAAGGGACAGUUUUCCAUCAUGAUGUGAUCUGCCUACACAAACCUCUUAUUCACAUUGCUGCCAGUCAGAUUUUAGCUGACACUGUCUAGGAUUCAAUUUGGAUAAGACAGUUUCAGCCAUCUUAGCCUAGUAACAACAGUACCUAGAAUUUAUAGGGUGUGUCUCAAGCACUUUACAUCUCAACAGUUUUUACAGCCAUCUGAUAAAGCAGUUCAG